AGAGUUUGAUCCUGGCUCAGGAUGAACGCUAGCUACAGGCUUAACACAUGCAAGUCGAGGGGCAGCAUUGAGAUAGCUUGCUAUUCAGAUGGCGACCGGCGCACGGGUGAGUAACGCGUAUCCAACCUUCCCCUUAGUAGGGCAUAGCCCGUAGAAAUGCGGAUUAAUACCCUAUGUUGUAUAUUGAGGACAUCUGAUUUAUACCAAAGGUUUACCGCUAAGGGAUGGGGAUGCGUCUGAUUAGGUUGUUGGCGGGGUAACGGCCCACCAAGCCUACGAUCAGUAGGGGUUCUGAGAGGAAGGUCCCCCCACAUUGGAACUGAGACACGGUCCAAACUCCUACGGGAGGCAGCAGUGAGGAAUAUUGGUCAAUGGACGAGAGUCUGAACCAGACCCAAGUAGCGUGCAGGAUGACCGGCCCUAUGGGUUGUAAACUGUCUUUUAGUACGGGGAUAAAGUGAGGGACGUGUCCCUUUUUGUAGGUACCGUAUGAAUAAGGACCGGCUAAUUCCGUGCCAGCCGCCGC
rnacentral:rRNA from 1 species